rnacentral:rRNA from 1 species
GACGUAGGUGGCGAACGUUAUCCGGAAUUAUUGGGCGUAAAGGGUGCGCAGGUGGCUUGGUAAGUUGGCGGUGGGAAAUCGAGGCUCAACCUCGUGGAAGCCGGUAAUACUAUUAGGCUUGAGUGCAGGAGAGGUUAACGGAAUUCCAUGUGGAGCGGUAAAAUGUGUAGAUAUAUGGAAGAACAUCAAUAACGGCGAAGGCAGUUAGCUAUGCUGCCACUGACAUUGAGGCACGAAAGCGUGGGGAGCAAAACGG